rnacentral:rRNA from 1 species
GGAUUAGGCAUGCAAGUCGAACGAGAACCCCGCAAGGGGUGAAAGUGGCAAACGGCGUAGUAAGGCGUAGGUGACGUACCUCCCGAUUCAGGAUAGCUACGGGAAACUGUAGGUAAUACUGGAUAACCCCUCCGAGAUUGAAAAUCGGAGUGCAAAGGUGUGAUUCCGUCAGGAGAGCGGCUUACGUGGUAUUAGCUAGUUGGUGAGGUAAUGGCUCACCAAGGCUUCGAUGCCUAGGGGGUGUUAGCGCAUGACCCCCACGACUGGGACUGAGAUACUGCCCAGACACCUACGGGUGGCUGCAGUCGAGAAUCUUCGGCAAUGGGCGCAAGCCUGACCGAGCGACGCCGCGUGUGGGAUGAAGGCCCUUGGGUUGUAAACCACUGUCAGAGGGGAUGAAAUGCGGGUGGGUUCUCCCAUCCGUUUGACAUAGCCUCAGAGGAAGCACGGGCUAAGUUCGUGCCAGCAGCCGCGGUAAUA